GACGAACGCUGGCGGCGUGCUUAACACAUGCAAGUCGAACGCUGAAGCUCAGCUUUUGUUGGGUGGAUGAGUGGCGAACGGGUGAGUAACACGUGAGUAACCUGCCCCCUUCUUUGGGAUAACGCCCGGAAACGGGUGCUAAUACUGGAUAUUCACUGGUCUUCGCAUGGGGGUUGGUGGAAAGGGUUUUUCUGGUGGGGGAUGGGCUCGCGGCCUAUCAGCUUGUUGGUGGGGUGAUGGCCUACCAAGGCUUUGACGGGUAGCCGGCCUGAGAGGGUGACCGGUCAGAUGAGGACGGAGAUACGGACCAGACCAGGCCGGGAGGCAGCAGUGGGGAAUAUGGAACAAUGGGCGGAAGCCUGAUGCAGCGACGCCGCGGGAGGGAUGGAGGCCUUCGGGUUGUGAACCUCUUUCGCUAAUGGUCAAGCCGCAACAAUGGUUGUGGUGAGGGUAGUGGGUAAAGAAGCGCCGGCUAACUACGUG
rnacentral:rRNA from 1 species